AAAAGACACAUAUGUUGAACCAUCACCUGAGUAAACUUUGGGGUCUGACAGCUACUGAAGUCAUCGACCCAAUAAGUUUCCGCAGUGGAAGAUACACAGCCUGGAGACUGACCAUGGAUGGAUUCAGGAACAGGUUGAAGAUCUAAGAAAACAUGCAUGUGGAGCCAUCACCUGAGUAACCAUUGGGGUCUGACAGCUACUUACGGAAGACAUCAUACACAAUAGCAUUCUGCACACAACAACAAAAAAAAAAAGACAAAAAUAAAAUAAUAUAUACCUAAA